rnacentral:rRNA from 1 species
UUAAAGGAAGUUGGACGGGGAGCACUACGAACGGGUGGAGCCUGACGGUUUAAUUGGAUCAACGCCGGAAAUCUCACCGGGGCGACAGCAAUAUGAAGGUCAGGCUGAAGACCUUACCCGAUUAGCUGAGAGGUGGUGCAUGGCCGUCGUCAGUUCGUACUGUGAAGCAUCCUGUUAAGUCAGGCAACGAGCGAGACCCACGUCCACAGUUGCCAGCAUACCCCUCCGGGGUGAUGGGUACACUGUGGAGACCGCCGCUGCUAAAGCGGAGGAAGGAGUGGGCAACGGUAGGUCAGUAUGCCCCGAAUCUCCCGGGCUACACGCGGGCUACAAUGGUUGGUACAAUGGGCAUCUACCCCGAAAGGGGAAGGAAAUCUCUUAAAGCCAAUCGUAGUUCGGAUUGAGGGCUGCAACUCGCCCUCAUGAAGCUGGAAUCCGUAGUAAUCGCGUUUCAACAGAACGCGGUGAAUACGUCCCUGCUCCUU